rnacentral:lncRNA from 1 species
CUCACAUGAAUGCAUGUUUUCAUGUCGUCAAUUCCCAGCAGCUCGGUUAUCCAGCAAAAUGUCUGCGGUCUGUGAAUAGCAAAUAUACAUAAACUACUGUGAUUAAUAACUCAGUAACUGUUUCUACCUUGGUAUGUAACACUAGAUUUCAGCCUGCUGUAUUUCUUUCUUACCUAUUUGUUUUGCAAGAGAAACAUGGUAAAAGAUAGCACUACUAGUUGUCCCAAUGGAAUUGCACAUCAUUUUGGCAAUCGUUGCUCCACCCAAAAGGUAACUGCCUGUGAUGGAACAAUGGCCCUGAGCAACAUAUAAAUAUAUACAUACAUAUUUAUGUAUGCAAUAUCUACAAUGCUAAUUACUACCAUCUAUUCUCACUGCCAAUGGAAACAAACUAUUUUCUUUGGAAUCAUUGAUGGAUAUAAAAAGUUUAAUUUGCUAUUAACUGCUUUCAUAUUCUGUUUAGUUCUUAUAGUAUGGUAAAUGAUACAGGUGCAGUAUCAGUAUUGUAACAUUGUGUGGUGAAAACUACAAAAGUCAUUCUGUGGAUAUAUUUUACAAGGCAGACCAGAAACUAUAUUUCAGAUUCUUGUGUGAAUAUAAUUACAGAAAUAGGUAACUAUUUUUUAUGUGUUUGCAUAAAUGACUCCAUUUCAUAUACAUUGUAAUUUAGCACCAAUCAUAAUAAAUCAUUUGGUAAC